rnacentral:rRNA from 1 species
UUCGCCCUUAAAGUUUGAUCCUGGCUCAGGACGAACGCUGGCGGCGUGCUUAACACAUGCAAGUCGAACGGAGGUUAUCAGGAAUCUUGCGAAUUGUUACCUUAGUGGCGGACGGGUGAGUAACGCGUGGAUAACCUGCCUGACAGACCGGGACAACACCGGGAAACUGGUGCUAAUACCGGAUACGCUCACGAGUGCCCAUGCACACUUGAGGAAAGGAGCAAUCCGCUGCCAGAGGGGUCCGCGUCCCAUUAGCUAGUUGGAGGUGUAAAGGACCACCAAGUCGACGAUGGGUAGCCGGCCUGAGAGGGUGGACUGCCACACUGGAACUGAGACACGGUCCAGACUCUUACGGGAGGCAGCAGUGGGGAAUCUUCCGCAAUGGGCGAAAGCCCGACGCAGCAACGCCGCGUGAGUGAUUAAGGCCUUCGGGUAUUAAAACUCUGUCAUCAGGGAAGAAAAUAAUGACGGUACCCGAGGAGGAAGCCCCGGCUAACUACGUGCCAGCACCCGCGGUAAAACGUAGGGGGCGAGCGUUGUUUGGAAUUACUGGGCGUAAAGGGCGCGUAGGCGGUUGUCCAAGUCUGAGGUGAAAACUCUGGGCUCAACUCAGAGCGUGCCUCGGAAACUGGGCGACUUGAGGGCAGGAGAGGGGAGUGGAAUUCCCAGUGUAGCGGUGAAAUGCGUAGAUAUUGGGAGGAACACCAGUGGCGAAGGCGACUCUCUGGCCUGUAUCUGACGCUGAGGCGCGAAAGCGUGGGGAGCGAACAGGAUUAGAUACCCCGGUAGUCCACGCCGUAAACGAU